GGGAGGGGGAGGUAGAAUGCUCCAGCUACUGGGAAUGGUAUAGGCUUUUGAAACCUUAAAUCUUCAGCUUUGCACAGUGGCAGUAUCAUAGCCAAUGAGGUUUAUCCGAGGCACGAUUAUUGCUAAUUGAAACCUUAAAUCCCGACUUCAGUGACACCUCCUCUAACAAGGCCACACCUCCUAAAACGUUCUACCAACUAGGGGCCACGCAUACAAGUCUAUGAGCCUCUGAGGGUCAUUCUCAUCGAAAUGACCACACCCACCUUCUCUGAAGCUUGUUUUAAUCACGUAAAAUCAUAUCGUCAAAAAACCUCCCCAGGAAAACUGAUAAGACAUUAAAGAUGGCGUAUUAUUACACGAUUAGAAAUACGCCUUAAUUUUGCUCAUUCCCUCCCCUGACAGCCCCUCCCGUUUCCUGUCAUUUGCAGUGAAUAUCCCUGUGCUGUUGGCUAUAUUUCUGCAGAAUGCUCUCCUCAAAGCUGAAGUGUUGAGUCAGAGGAUGGUGUAGAUUUGAAGUGCUGAGAGGGGCUGCCUUGACCCACCGUCAAAAUGAUGCAAACAUUUACAGAAUGAGUUGCUCGGCACCAAGCUUGAAGUGUGUGCUCUGGAUGGCGUGCACGGCAUAUGCGAGGCCUUCACCUCUGUGUGCACAGCAUAUGCCUAGGGCCUUCACCUCUACGGCAAUCCAGGAUUCAGGAGUGGAAGACCAUGAAACCAAAGGAUGGGGACAUUAGGUAACUGACCAAGGUCACAGCAGUAGUCCUUGUCUCUGCAGUGGCUUCUCUCCCUCUGUCAUCCCAUCAGCCUGCAGGGUACACAGCACACUCGUCUGUGUGUGGACAUUUGGGAAUGUUCUCUAUAAAAUGCUAAUUUGUUAUUUUACUCAAACUUGUGUUAGAUUGUCUUUUGAGUGUCAAUAUGAAGGCCUCUUUGAUAUGUAGAUAUGAACUAUAAAAUCAUUCACCAAUAGUUCUGUUGGAA